rnacentral:lncRNA from 1 species
GUUGCAUGCAAUUUCUUUUUAUCUCAGAGAGAACGGUGGAGGUGGCGUGAUACUUGUUUCAUUCAUUUUUUAAAAAAAAAUCAUGUUAGAAAUGUAAAGUAACUAGGUUUCAAACUUGGUGCCUCAAGUAGGCUAGGUGAUGAAGCUCGUGGCUCGUGAGUCAACUCGUAUUUAGCUCAAAAUGAGCUGGAAACCGAUUACUCCAUUAAUAAAUGAGUUGAACUUGAGCUUGGGUUAGCUUGCUGAUGUUCGGCUCGAUAUAGCUCGAUAUAAAUACUAUUUGAAUUUUAGGCUAUUCUGAAUAUAAAGAGAUUCUAAUUUUUAAAAUUUUUCUUUCAACUUUUCACCCAGUAAUAGCACAGACAAUCUAAUUGACUAUUCAUGAGGCACCUCGUGUUCGACUUAUUAAUAAACAAGCCAAAAAUGAUUUAAAUUUUUUAGCUCGAUAUUUUAACGAGUCAGUUCAUAUUUGACUUAUUUAAUAAAUCAUGAGUGAAUACGAGCCGAUCCCAACUCACUCGUGUUCGGCUCGUUGACAACCCUAACCUCCAGUACUAACCAUCAAACACUUAGCCAAUACAUUAGGUACGGUUGACUGAAUAUAAAUUAUUAAACAGAAUAUUUCUCCACCAGCUUAAUAUUUAAAUUAAAGAAUCACAAGUACUUUACACAAUAUUAAAAUUGAAGAAUUUGAAGAGGAAUCUUAUGAGUCUUUCGGUCUUAUUUAAUCUAACUUAUUUCAUUUAACUCAGCGCUCACGUCGGUAACCUAUUCAAAAUUCUCUGAACCACCUGACGCGGCAAAAACUAAAAAUUUAAUAUAAACAAUUAAAACGCCGCUCUUUACCGGCGUAAAUUUUGGAAUAAUCAGCGUAUACAUUUAUACCAUCAAUCAAUCCUCUU